UCACAUCACACUUACGUAAUUACGAUUACUAAACUUGUGAACACAUCUAGGACAGUUGGCUGGAAGCGAUUUUCUUACACACACCCAUCGUUUCGCUUCAGAUGACACAGAUUCAUCCACUGGGGUCAUAUGGAUUACCUUCACGACUGAUGUGUGUGGUUUUAUGAAGUUUCAACUGAAUGACAGCCUUUCGCAUUAUAUGGACUCACAGAGAUGCAUUAUUUUACCUAAAAAUCUUAGUUUGUGUUUAUCUGAAGAAAGAAACAUUGGGGAUGACAUGAGGGUCAGUGUAAUGAAGGGUCGGCAGAGCGGGGAUCCAUUUGCAGCUUUAUUUAGAAUAAUCACCAAGGCAGACAGGGGCAAAGGCAAAGACAUAAACAGGGACAGGCAAUGGUCGAGGCAGGCGGCAGACAAACGAUGUCGAGUCACAGGCAGAGGUCAGGGCAGGCAGCAAGGAAUCACAGAGAAUAAACAAUCCAACGGUAACAAGGAAACAGUCCACAAGAAAACGCUCAGUAAUGAUCACCGGGGCAAAUCAAGACUUCGCGGUGAGUGUGUGUGUGUGUGGCUUAAAUAGUGUGGGUGUGAUGAGGUGCAGGUGUGUGCGUAAUCAGUCCCAGGAAUGAGGGCCUAUGGGAAACGUAGUCCGAAUGGGAGCAGUCAAUAUUCAGGUGAUUAUUGUGGAGUGUGCAUGUGAUUGGCAGGGAGGAUAAUGGGAAAUGGAGUCCAGGAACUGACAGGAACAGACGGUGAUCGUGACAGUCAGAAUGAGGAUGUUACGGGUGACAAAACCAAGUCAUGAUGCAUACGGAACACAACAUACUUGCCCACUCACCUGCUCAUCUAGUCUAAGAACAAUCCUCUCUGAAUCUCUCAUGAGUUUCUCCUCCCAUCAGAGAAUAUCACCCUUGAGUCUCUCAGCACAACAGUCUGAACAGUCUGUCAGGAUGAAAACAAGAGAGAGGAACUAUGAAGCAGAUCAUUCUGGAUUGAGCCCAGAUAAGAAAAAGAAAACCGUGAUAAUGAACUACAGUCAAGACAUGACAUUUGUAUUAAAGACUCAGUGACAGCAGGAUCAGCCAUCAUUCUUCAGAGAAAUGUUUCACUUGAGGAUCAGGAUCCAGAAAACAAUGUUUUCCCAGAAGAGUUUAAGAUAGGAAGCUUCAAUCUCAUACUCAUUUCAUGAAUGAGGAUGUAACUGGAAUCUCUACAUUCUUGGACUGCUCGUAUACAGUGACAACAAACUGAAGUCGUGACGGUGUAUUGAGACACAAUGACAGCAGGAAUAUUUAAAACAUCACUGAGAGAAAAGUUUCACUUGAGGAUCGGGAUCCAUAGAAUCCCCAGAGAAGUUUACGAAAGGAAGCUUCCUUCUCAUACUCGUACAUAUAAAAUAUGUUACAACAGUUGCAAAAUGAGACAAGGUGUCUGAGGAGAAAAGCAACAGAACAGGUCAACACAGCAACAUAGACCCCCACCCACCAACCUCCCCUAAAGCCACCAGAAGGACCAUAAAAAAAUAAUAAAAAGAAAAUAUAUAUAUAUAUAAAGUUGGGUAGAUUACUUAUGAAUUGUAAUCAGUUUCUGAUUACAAAUUACAUGACAAAAGUUGUCAUCAGUAAUAUAAUCUCUUAGAUUACACAUUUUUGGUAAUGUAAUCGGACUACUUUUGGAUUACAUUUAGAUUACUUUUGUGCUAACCCUUAUUUGAUGUCACAUAUAUUGUAGGAUAAUAUUGUACUAUUUUGACAGAUACAAAGAAAAAUAUAUUUAAAAAAUGUUCUAUUUACCAACAAGAGAUCACACUCAACAGAUUCUACAUGAAAUUCACAGCAAUAUCACUGCUACAUCAAAUACUUCAUCUCAAAAUGUUUUAAGUGCAUAGUAACAAUGAAGAAAAAACAAACAAUAGCAACAUUACAAAAAAAUGAAUAAUAAAGAAAAUGAAGCUUACAGGAAUAACAUUGCUAGGCCAAAUAUUUCAUCUCAAAACACUUGAAUUGCAUAUGAUAAUAACAAUGAAGAAAAAUCAAAUUGAAUCCGAUGCCGUGGACAGCAAAUUAAUCCUUGGUAGGCAGAGCUUACACUGAACAGUGGUGUUUUCCCGUGUCUUUCUUUAAAAAUGAAAUGAUGUCUGUACAUCCAGUGGUUAAAGGCUGUCUUCCCCUUCAUUUUCCAUAAUUUCUUCUAGUUGCUGAUUUCUGUGCACGAUUCCACACCCCUCCCCCUCACCGCCGGAAAAACUCGAAGAAUCAGGAACGUAUAUAAGCGGAAGGUUUAUUAUGAAACGUUAAAAAUAUAAACGUUAAAAAAAUGAAAAUUUAGGAGAAUCAAUGAAUUGUGAACAACUUACUGCCAUUGUGUAAAUAAUAUGUCAUCAUGUAAUCCAUAAAAAAGUAACUGUAGUCUGAUUACAAGUAUUUUAAAUAAGUAGUUUACUCUAAUUACAAGUACUUGAUUUUUGGAAUCUGAUUACAUGAUCCAGAUUACAUGUAAUCCGUUACUACCCAGCUGUGUGUGUGUGUGUGUAUA